UGAAUGGCUCUCGGCAACGGAUAUCUCGGCCCUCGCAUCGAUGAAGAACGUAGCAAAAUGCGAUACGUGGUGUGAAUUGCAGAAUCCCGCGAACCAUUGAGUCUUUGAACGCAAGUUGCGCCCGAGGCCUUCCGGCCGAGGGCACGCCUGCCUGGGCGUCACAC
rnacentral:rRNA from 1 species